CCGCGCGUCCUGGUAGACUGCAGGAGCCCAGGGCUUCUGGGGACUGUGACGGCGCCCAAGGCGGGGGAUAAGGCGGCUCCGGGUCGCCGCCCUCUGCCCCCCCGCUCUGUGAGGCCUCUCGAGGCAGUGUCUGUGUCUGGGGCAGCGACGCCGACGGCGUUGGGGCGCUAAGGGGCUCAUGCUCCUGCGUCCCCCUGGCGCCGGGUUGUUUUCAGUUUGGAGCUAUUAUGAAAAAGCUGUUAUGAACAUUACAUCUGUGUCUUUUGAUGGAUGCCUGCACUUGGAGACCCAGGAGUGGACAAUACUGGCUUCUUAAGGUACAAGCUUAAAGUGUUGCUGCUAGACCUUUCUUCUCUUGUAAUUAAACCAAAAAAUUAAGCGCAUGAUUAUGGAGUCUGACUGCUUGAGCUGGCUGCCCCACCUGCCUCAGUUUCUUCAUCAAUAUCUGGGACAUCAUCAUCCUAAUAGUACCUGCCUCCUGGCGGAGACCUGAAAGCAGCUUAACCAUGAGCAGCACUCAACUAAGCGAAGAAAUUCUUCGCAAUAAAUAGGGAUGUUUGAAAGGUUUUACGUUGGACCCGCCUUACCGUGGACAGACACUAGAGGGUGCUCCUCGCUCAGAAAGCCGCGUAUUGCCAGGCCUGGGACCUCUGCCAGGAAGCGCUUGGACUGCCGGUCCUGAAACUUUCUCUUUGGGUCUGGCAAUUUACUGGGGAGAAGUAUCUGCUGCCUUGGUUCUGAAACUAAAGGCUUUUACGGAAGGAGGAGGAGACUGCAAGCGGCUACAUGGAGCAGAAAUGGGGCUCCUCCAAACUUUCACCAAUUGGCGUUCUGCUGGACUGUGACUUGGAGAAUACGAGCAGUGUCUCAUUCACCCAGGAGUCCCAGGGUGUAGCACACAUAGUGUCUGGCAGAUAGUAAGCGCUUUGUAAAUAUUUAUGGAAUGGGACCAACCGAUGGGGGCGUCUAAGACCUAAAUAAUUAUAAUUCCGAAUUGGGGAGCGCUGGCACGAUGAUCACAGAGCAUUAAGGGCUCUCCCGGAAGAAUGGGGGCUGGGGAUGACUGGCCAGAAUGGCUUCCUGAAAUUCAGGAGCCCUGGCACUCUCUGGAGUACACAGAAAAGAUCUUCCACAUCUGGCUUUUGGAUAUUUAAAAACAGCUUCCUGCUCCAUUUCUUUCAUGUGCUUCCUGUGGAAUGAUUUCUAGGCUUUUCACUAAGUUGAUCGCUCCCUGCAGACUUAUAGGAAGGCAAAUAAUAGUUUAGCACCUACUGGGUUCAAGCAUCUCCUAUAAUCUCCAUUAUCUGAUUUAAUUGUGUCUUUAUCUCAUUUAAUCCCUACAACAACUCUGUGAGACUAAGGUUAUUAUCCGCAUUCUACAGAUUAGAACUUGGCAAGGUUUGAUAACGGGCCCAAGAUCACACCAUCAGGGAGUGACAGGACAGUAUUUGAACCCAGAUAGUCUAGUAGCAAAAGAUGCUUUUAAAAAUUUUCACUUAAAAGAAUAACAACAACAGCAACUAACAGUAUGGAGGGGGCCAGAUACUUUUCUGUGUAUUAACUCAUUUAAGUCAUUUAAUUGCUAUACACUUAGAUGUCAUCCUUUCUAUUAGUACAUUGCUAGUACUGAAAAGUGAAGAGAAUGAUAUAACAAACACCCAUGUACUCAUCACUUGGCAUGAAAAAAAGAUUAAAGUUGAUAUUAUCCAGCUGCAAAAAUCUUGAAAAAGAACAAGGUUGGAG